rnacentral:rRNA from 1 species
AAACCAAAGCUGGCGACCGGCGCACGGGUGAGUAACACGUAUCCAACCUGCCUCAUACUCGGGGAUAGCCUUUCGAAAGAAAGAUUAAUAUCCGAUAGCAUAUAUUUCCCGCAUGGGUUUUAUAUUAAAGAAAUUCGGUAUGAGAUGGGGAUGCGUUCCAUUAGUUUGUUGGGGGGUAACGGCCCACCAAGCCUUCGAUGGAUAGGGGUUCUGAGAGGAAGGUCCCCCACAUUGGAACUGAGACACGGUCCAA